UUGGUUCCUGUCCUCAGCGUCCCCGCCGCGGCCCUGCAGCUUAGCGGUGGGAUUUAAGGCCAGGGACUGCAGCCGGAGGGUGGAGCAGGGUCCGCAGCGCUCUGGGCGCUCACCCUUGCCCAUCCCAGCGCCAUCCGCGGUGCGUACCGGGAAACGGCGCAAGCCUGCCCUGUUUCGCUCAGGGACAACGCUCAGCUGUGCCCAGAGGAGUUUGUUUUUCCCGAGGAAGUUUUGUGUGUGUGUGUGAGGACAGGAGGCUGCAGGCUUUGGGCAGUCAGGGCUGACGCGGUGACGCCCGCGCUGCAGCCGCGCUCCGGAGCCACGGCUGGGAGACCCCUGGUGGCCCUCUGUGGAAUUGCACGUGCGCUGAACCGCGCUUUCCACCCUUGGAUUCCAACAAAGCUGAGGUAGGAGGAGACAAGCACAAAAGGCCUGGUGCUGAGUCCGAGCCUGAGCCGGGUCGCUAACUGCGCUGACAGACCUGGCCCAGAGUCUCAACAGCUUCAUCUAACAGUUUCGGUUGCACCUUCACAAGGUUGCUCAGGCUGGUGACCCUCCAAAUAAUGACGCGAGAGGAGCUGUGGGCACGGAGAGACAGAAGCUGUCCUCAGCCUUGGAUAGGAAGAGUGAAAACCAAACGCGCACACAAACUAUCACGUGUGGAAAGGGUGCAGACAUUAAGUGAGAAAAGGAGAGGCACAGAGACUCCUCCCGAGGCUUCAGCUUCCCAGCAUGCACGUCAGCUCCCCAGUGGCAAGUUGGUGCUGUGAAUCAGGCGGGAUGGACUGCAGCCUCUUCAUACGGAGGAAUCUCUGCUUCACUCACUUUUAAAUGUACAUUUGAUGUUCUAGGGUUUCUUGCUGUCUGAAUGUAGCAUACAAUACAGUCUAUGUCCUUGAGGUAGUCCUGUCUCUUCUCCCCUCCCAGUCUGUCCUCUCUCCCUCUUCCUUCCCCUCCCCAUUUUUCCCAUCCACCCUAGCUCAUCAAGUUGCAUCAGGACUGAGCAUGUCCUCUUCCCCUGUGGCCUGGCAAGGCAGUCCUGUCAGGAGGAAGUGAUCAAAAAGCUGGCAAGUGAGUCCUUGUCUGAUGCAGUCCCCACUUCCCUUACUAGAGGACCCACAUGAGGCCUAAGCUGUCCAUCUGCUGCAUCUUUGUAGGGGGCCUAGGUGCAGAUCCUGCGUGGUCCUUGGCUGAUGCUUCAGUCUCAGCGGGCCCCUCUGGGCCCUGGUUAGUUGGCCCUGUUGGUCUUCUUGUGCAGCUCCUGUCACCUCCAGGUCCUUUUCUCUUUCCUCCCAUUUUUCCACCCAAAGAAGAUAAGUAACAAGAAGGAUCCAAGGGAGGAUGAAUAAAUCUCACUUGAAGGGGAGAUAGAAGAGACAAAGGUAGUGGCUGCAGAGAGGGAACAAAGUAGGAGAGGGGGCACAGAAAGUUAAGAGGGUAGAGAUCAGAGCUGGGAAGAGAGGGCAAGAGGACUGAAGGCCUGUAGAGAAAAGAGAAACUGAGGGUGGGGGUUUCCCUGUGACAAGCUGGAGACCUAAGUCAGGAUCAGCUCCUGGGAGGAAAUGAGGAGGACUCAAGCAAAGACUCCUAGUAGCAGGGGUCACAGAGACUGAAGAGGACAUCCUCUAACUAGACUAGCCUCAUAGCAGAGGAUGAAAACACCAACCCAAACACAAAUAUUCCAACCCAAGAUUUACCCUACCUAUGAUAUAUGCAAGGAUAAAGAUAGAGCAGAUUGAGUGAUACCCAACCAAUGCCUGGCCCAACCAAUGACCCACCUAUCGGAGAGCGCCAAUCCUGACACUAUGAAAGAUACUCUGCUAAGCUUUGCAGACAGGAGCCUGUCAGAACUGUCCUCUGAGAGGCUCUAACCAGCAGGGCCUCAAAACAGAUGCUGAGACUCACAGCCAAAUAUUGGGUGAUACGAACAGUCUUCAUUCUGAAAACCUCAUUCAUUAUUCAUUUUCACUGAACACUGAAGCACCCAACAUUACCAAAGCGUUGGAAACUAAGCAUAUUGAAAUUAUCAUUGAUUAGUUAACUGGUAUUCGAUGUCAACCUAAACACACAAAUGGGUCUUUAUACAUAACUUUUUCCUUUUAUGGAGCGAGGUGGGUCCCACUGCAGGAAGUCCCUCAGGUAACUAAUGAGCCAUCUCUGCCAGUCUCCUAGCUGCAUCUCUGUCAUUGAAAAGUUACCUAAAAUAUUGCUAAUGCCUAAUCCUAAUUAUUAUUAAUGUUAUUAUUACGUUUAUCUGUUUCCAUUUAAUUAAUUAUGAUAUUUAUUGUCAUUUGUAUUUAUGGAGACUUACCAAAACAUAUAAUUUUCAGACAAACACCAGCUUUAUUUUCUCAUUCACGGUUUGUACACUUUUCAGAUAUCCCAUUAAGUUGUAUGUAAUAAACAUGUAAGUGGCAAAACCAGAUUGUUUUUGGACAUGUCAGUCUGGGUGUGAACAUUCAAGACCUUUGAUUAUUAGCUGGCAUUUGUCAUAGUGGGAGAGGAAAACUCUGAACCAAUCUGAUUAAUUGGUUCAGGCAAGCCUGGUUCUUUUUUAUAAAUAUUUUGUUAGAAAAACGAGCAUUUUAUGUGAAGGAGACAGAAGCCGUUAGAAGCAUGAUGGAAAGUUUCUAAUGUUCUUAAUGAUUUUUAAAAGUCAGUGGAGAGCAGAGGUAAGCAUAGCAGUCUUGGUGAAAUACACACCGCCUCUCAGGGAAGGCAGUGCCUUGUCCUGGGACUCUUCUGGAAGGAAAGGAUGGUUCCUUUCAUGAGAACCAGGUUUACUUACCCGUGUCUUUCUGCUUCUGGGUUACCUCACUCAGGAUGAUCUUUGAUGUCAUUGUUUUUAAUAGCUGAGUUAUACUGGAUUGUGUAAAUGUACCACAGUUUCUGUGCCCAUUCUCCAGUUGAGGGACAUCUACAUUAUUUCCAGUUCCUGGCUAUUACGAAUAAAGCUGCUAUAAACACA